rnacentral:rRNA from 1 species
UACGGGGGGGGCAAGCGUUGUUCGGAAUUACUGGGCGUAAAGGGCUCGUAGGCGGAUAUGUCAGUCAGGGGUGAAAUCCCGGGGCUCAACCUCGGAACUGCCCUUGAUACAGCAUAUCUUGAGUCCGAUAGAGGUGGGUGGAAUUCCUAGUGUAGAGGUGAAAUUCGUAGAUAUUAGGAAGAACACCGGUGGCGAAGGCGGCCCACUGGAUCAGUACUGACGCUGAGGUGCGAAAGCGUGGGGAGCAAACAGG